GACGUGGGGCUCGAACCCACAAACCGCGAGAUCAUGACCUGAGCGGAAGUUGGAUGCUUAACCGACUGAGCCACCCAGGUACCUUGCAUACUUGGUAACUUUUGAUUGGAUGCUGGAAACGGGGAAACUUACCUUGUUGGGUACUGGGUCAUUUUGUACUGUUGUGAGUUUCUUGAGUUUAGUUCUGGGAUCUUAGUUGGAAAUAGUCUGAUUCACUUGGGUCUUGCUUCUAAGCUUUGUUACACGAGGUCAGAGUGGCCAUGUGUUUAGUACUAAUAUUUCCCUGCUACUGAGGCAAAACCCUUCUGAGUACUCUACCCAAAGCUAGGUGAGUUAUGAGGAUUUCCACUUCGGCUGGCAGGAGCCAGCACUAUCUUCUGCCCUAAAGUUCUGAGGAUUCUGCCUCUAGACCCUUCAUGUUGCUUUCUCUCCAUAGAAUUCCCUCAAAUGUGCACACCGAUCGCUACUUAGCCAAUACUUUAGAGUCCCUCUGCAGAGCCAGAGUCCUCUCUGUGGAGCCCCCUCCUCUCCUCUCUGAUACCUUGUGAACUCACAGAGAUCACUGGGCUCCACUCGGACUCUCCUCCCCUAUGCUGCUCUGGAAAUGUCCUCAAGGCGGGCAACUGGGGCAACUGGAGGGCUUACCUCUUUCUGUCUUGAAUCUCAGGGGUCAGCAUCCCUUGCUGUUUGACGUCAACCAUCUGGAAAACCAUUUGACCGAAUUUUCCGUCGGAUCAGAGUGAAUCCAGUACCUACUCAUUCAUCUUGCUGGAAACAGGAAAGCUCAUCUCAGCUUACUUGGGAAUAAAACAAUCUGUGGGCCAGUGUCCCCCAUCUCCACAUCUUCUAGAGGAAAAGAGCUCAGAAACAACCUAGAACUGGAGGAAUCAACGGGUUUCUUAAAAAGGCAGUGACCGAAAAGCAUGAGCAACUCAAGACAACGGCGGCGCCUGCAGAAACAACGCGGUCCUCGCCCAAACCGCAGGAUUUCCAGGCUCUCCGGCCAGGCACUCUUGCAGAAGCACAUGUUGCCCAAAGUCACACAAUGGCCACACGCCUCCACCGGGACUCAGGGUCCCCCACAGACUUUCUCCAAACUUCUAACUUGUGAGGAGCUACAAUGGGUAGCCCUUUCUAACGCAGUAGCUCAUUUUCCUUGCACAUGAAAGAAAUCUAACUCUGUGUGGAAGAACAGACGUUCAUUUUUAGGUCCACGGAGAAUGCUGCCCAGAGGCUUGGGCACUGGGCCGAUAAGAAGUGGCUGACACCAGGGGCUGAGGUGGAGAUGGAGAAUUCUGCUUUAAGGAUGGGCAGUGGAGGUUCCGUUGUCUUCUCUCGUCCUUUGCCCUGUCCUACUUCUCAAAUCUUAUGUUAGCACCGGGAAAAACAAAACAAAACAAGACAGGAGUAUUUGAUGGUAUUCAUAAACCUACACAGGGUAAUGAAUCACCCUAACACAGGUCCCCAAGGCCCUGUUUCCUGUUACUGGCAGGCAGCUAAGUCAAGUGUGCUUACGAUAUUCUAUUUGUUCUAGACAGAAGUUUAGCUGUAAGACAAAAUGAACAUCUUUGAUUAAGAAUCUAAUUGGAGGGGCGCCUGGGUGGCUCAGUAGGUUAAGUGUCUGACUCUUGACUUCGGCUUGGGUUAUGAUCCCAGGGUUCGAGCCCCAACCCCCUGCUUGGGAUUCUCUCUCUGUCCCUCGCUGGCUCGCUCACUCCUUUCAAAAUAAAUAAACUUAAAAAAGACUUAAGAAAAAGAAUCCGAUUGGAAAGUAAAUUGGCUUUUAGAUUAGAAUAGCUCUGCCUACUCGGACAAGUUGCGCUCAUGCCCUGAUCAACGUUACCUGACCAACUGAGUUGAGACAAGCCCUUUUCUGCUCCAGACCAUCCAAUCUAAUCCCUUCAGUACAACAUAAUCUUUAUAGGCAGGAUAGGCCAUUGGAAAGAAGAGAGAGUUGCAGAGAAACUCAAGGUGCGCUCUGAUGUUCUAUCUAAGAGGCAAGUGGAUGGACACCAUCAUGAAAAAUGCUCAUCUCUACAAUAAAAAUCAGACUAGAAGCUUCCGGAGGGAGAGUGUUAAUUUCUGUGUAUUAUUAGCAGCUUCCAAUUUCAGGCCCAGUGCAUUUUGAGGCCUCACUUCAACACGGAUUGCUGAGACGUGAAAUCUUGCCUUCAUAGGUGCCAUUCUGUUGGGGGAAAUUAUGCAGUGAGGGCAUUAUAAUGGGACCCCCAAAGGCAAAUAGGUACAAAUCUUGGUAAACAGGCAGAAGUGAGAGGAGGCGGGACCAGCCUGGUUUGCACCUUUGAGCUCUGGGCACCGUUUUCUAAGGCCAAGCAAAAUCUUCUAAAGGACCAUGCGUUCCUGCCAUUCGAGACUAUAAGGACCCAUGGGAUAGCAGAUCCCCAUGAUGUGACUUCCAAUAACUGAUUUUUAAAAAUUUUUUAAGUUAAUUCAUUUUUGAGAGAGAGACAGAACACAAGCAGAGGAGGGGCAGAGAGAGAGAGAGAGAGAGAGAGACAGAGACAGAGACAGAGACAGAAUCCGGAGCAGGCUGCAGGUUCUGAGCUGUCAGCACAGAGCCCGAACCCGACGUGGGGCUCGAACUGACGAGCCGGGAGCUCGUGACGUGAGCCCAAGUUGGCCGCUUAACCGCCUGAGCCACCCAGGAGCCCCUCCAACAGUUGAUUUCUGUGGCCGAAUAGGUGAAGAUAAAAUGUGUACCACAACGAA